AGCAGCCGCGGUAAUUCCAGCUCCAAUAGCGUAUAUUAAAGUUGUUGCAGUUAAAAAGCUCGUAGUUGAAUUUCGGGAUCAAUACGUCGGUCGUGCUUCGGUACGUACUGGUGUCAUUGAUUUCUCCCUUCUGACGAACCAUGAUGUCAUUAACUUGGUGUCAUGGGAAAUCAGGACUGUUACUUUGAAAAAAUUAGAGUGUUUAAAGCAGGCUCACGCUUGAAUACAUUAGCAUGGAAUAAUGAAAUAGGACGUCCGAUCCUAUUUUGUUGGUUUCUAGGAUCAACGUAAUGAUUAAUAGGGAUAGUUGGGGGCAUUAGUAUUCAAUUGUCAGAGGUGAAAUUCUUGGAUUUAUUGAAGACUAACUACUGCGAAAGCAUUUGCCAAGGAUGUUUUCAUUAAUCAAGAACGAAAGUUAGGGGAUCGAAGACGAUCAGAUACCGUCGUAGUCUUAACCAUAAACUAUGCCGACUAGGGAUCGGAUGAUGUUAAUUAUUUAAUGACUCA
rnacentral:rRNA from 1 species